GAACCCGGGGAACUGAAACAUCUAAGUACCCGGAGGAAAAGAAAUCAAACGAGAUGCCCACAGUAGCGGCGAGCGAAGAGGGCAGAGCCCAAACCUGUAAGCUACGGCUUAUGGGGGUUGAGGACUGACGUAAUUAAGGCCAGGCUUAGCUGAACUACCUGGGAAGGUAGGCGAUAGAAGGUAAGAGCCCUGUAAGCGAAAGGCAGAGCCUUAAGGUCAGUAUCCAGAGUACCACGGAGCACGAGGAAUUCUGUGGGAAGCAGGGGGGACCACCCUCCAAGGCUAAAGACUAACUGGCGACCGAUAGCGCAUAGUACCGUGAGGGAAAGGUGAAAAGAACCCCGGGAGGGGAGUGAAAUAGUACCUGAAACCGUAUGUCUACAAGCAGUCGGAGCGAAAGCGACGGCGUGCCUAUUGAAGAAUGAACCAACGAGUUAUCUGCACUAGCGAGGUUAAGUGGAAGACACGGAGCCGUAGCGAAAGCGAGUCUGAAAAGGGCGGCGAGUUAGUGUAGGUAGACCCGAAACCGCAGUGAUCUACCCAUGUCCAGGUUGAAGCGCAGGUAAAAAUGCGUGGAGGACCGAACCGGUGAGCGUUGAAAAGCUUUCGGAUGAGAUGUGGGUAGGGGUGAAAUUCCAAUCGAACGCGGAGAUAGCUGGUUCUCCCCGAAAUAGCUUUAGGGCUAGCCUCAGGUAGUAAGUAUAGGCGGUAGAGCACUGAUCGGGCUAGGGGCCAUAAAGGUUACCGAACCCUGUCAAACUCCGAAUGGAUAUACUGCAGAGCCUGGGAGUCAGACUACGAGUGAUAAGAUCCGUGGUCAAAAGGGAAACAGCCCAGACCACCGGCUAAGGUCCCAAAUGCCGUACUAAGUGGAAAAGGAUGUGGGGAUUCAUAAACAACCAGGAUGUUGGCUCAGAAGCAGCCAUCAUUUAAAGAGUGCGUAAUAGCUCACUGGUCGAGAGUCCCUGCGCCGAAAAUUUCCGGGGCUAAAGUACGGAACCGAAGCCGUGGCUGUGUACUUAGGUACACGGGGUAGGGGAGCGUUGCCACAGGGGUGAAGCUGGUCUGGAAGGACUGGUGGACUUGUGGGAAGUGAGAAUGUUGGUAUGAGUAGCGAAAAGAAAGGUGAGAAUCCUUUCCACCGAAAGCAUAAGGAUUCCUGAGCAACGAUCGUCGUCUCAGGGUAAGUCGGGACCUAAUCCGAGGCAAAGAGCGUAGGAGAUGGACAACAGGUUGAUAUUCCUGUACCGGCAGCAAUUGUUUGAGCGAAGGAGUGACACAGAAGGGCAGGCAGGCGCGAGACUGGAUUGUCGCGUGCAAGCGUGUAGGGUAGUGUACAGGCAAAUCCGUACACUGAGAGCCUGAGGCGUUACGCGGAGCGAGCAGAGAUGCGAGCGAAGCUGCUGAUCCCACACUGUCGAGAAAAGCUUCUAGUGAGAGAGCUGCCGCCCGUACCGUAAACCGACACAGGUAUGCGGGGAGAGAAUCCUAAGGUGCGCGGGAGAACCCUCGUUAAGGAACUCGGCAAAAUGUACCCGUAACUUCGGGAUAAGGGUAGCCGUCUUGGUGAAGGAGCUUGCCUCUGGAGCUAAAGGCGGUCGCAGAGAAGAGGCCCAAGCGACUGUUUACCACAAACACAGGUGCCUGCUAAAGCGAAAGCUGACGUAUAGGUGCUGACACCUGCCCAGUGCUGGAAGGUUAAGGAAGGAUGUCCGGGCAACCAAAGCAUUCGACCGAAGCCCCAGUGAACGGCGGCCGUAACUAUAACGGUCCUAAGGUAGCGAAAUUCCUUGUCGGGUAAGUUCCGACCCGCACGAAAGGUGUAACGAUUUGGGCACUGUCUCAACGAGGGACCCGGUGAAAUUGAAAUACCUGUGAAGAUGCAGGUUACCCGCGACUGGACAGAAAGACCCCAUGGAGCUUUACUGUAACCUGACAUUGGGUUUUGUUGUAUUACGUACAGGAUAGGUGGGAGGCUUGGAAGGCUGGACGCUAGUCUGGCUGGAGCCGGCGUUGGGAUACCACCCUUGAUACAACGGAAUUCUAACCGAGAGAGUAACGAAAUCCGGGACAGUGUCAGGCGGGCAGUUUGACUGGGGCGGUCGCCUCCGAAAGAGUAACGGAGGCGCCCAAAGGUUCCCUCAGCGCGGCCGGAAAUCGCGCGAAGAGUGUAAAGGCAGAAGGGAGCUUGACUGCGAGCCAAACACGGCGAGCAGGUACGAAAGUAGGGCUUAGUGAUCCGGUGGUACCGAGUGGAAGGGCCAUCGCUCAA
rnacentral:rRNA from 1 species